rnacentral:lncRNA from 1 species
AAAAUGGUUUUAUUCUUAUGUCUUGCCAAAUAAUUACCUUUUCUGUAUGUGCCUUGGAAGUUUAAAAAAAAAAAAAAAAAAAAAAAGAGCAGGAGGGGGGUAUAACUGUUCUUUUGCUUUUCUCCAAGCAUUUUUCACAAGGCAAAUGUGGGAGAAAGAAAACAUGAUGAGAAAGAUCUACAUUCCUCAGUGACCUCACCUAAAUUGACUACAAAAGGCUGUGCCAUCUGGGGAUCUUCUCUUCUCCCCUGAUCAAUGAUAGUGAGACCUGGACCAUAGCUUCUACUGACAUAUGGGCACAGGCUGCUGGUGACUCUCUUGAAGAAGCACUCUACAAAGACAACGUGCUACUCAGUAUGUAGCUAUUCAAAAUAAAUGGAAUAAAUGGUUCUUUAAACUUCCA